UAAAGCAGCUACGGUGUUUCUAGGUCACCAGAGAUGGAGGUUAAGCAGCUUACAAACCCGGGAGGCUUAUUCUGUGAAACGCUGGCUUUCCCCAGACCGGCAGAAAGAGGAGCUGUGUCAUGCAGCGCUGCUGGCCGUGACAUCGAGAUGUCUCACUCGCAGGAUGCCAAGGCAGGUCCGUCACGGUGGAGGUGGGGAGCUUGGCCAUCAUGCCAGCACUUUCCCACCUCUGUUUCAUGAUGCUGUGACCUAGGGGUGCUCGUGCCGCUAAGCUGGGGACCUGCAGUCUCCCUAAAUAGAUGGAGAGAGUCCACAAACCAGGCAGAUGCCCAGCCCAUGUGUUCUGCAUCUCCGUACCCCGACCUUGCUGCUCCCCUGGGUCCUUCUGAUCGUGGUUAGGUGCUGGUUGAUCUCAAUGGCUGCUAGGUGCAGAGCAGCUCAUUGCUCCCCGGAGCCGUCUCACGGCCGUGUUUGCUUCCUUGUGCAGCUCCAAGAAGCCACAGGAGGGACGUCUGCGAGGCGUCCUGGCUGCAGCAGGCUCCCCGAGGAGCCAUCACCUCCCGUGCUGAGAGGCGAGGACAGGGCUUUGUUCUGUGAUUUGCUGCAUCCGGAUUCAGGCAAAAUCCCUGCAAGUGGCUGGGGAUGUGACCUAUCUGAAUAAUUUGUUGUUGUUGUUUUUUUGGGGAGGAGAAAAAGGUGGCCUUUUCCCCAGCUGAGACUCUCCUGCACGCAUGAGCAAUUCUGAAAUAAAGGCCCUGAAUCCCAUUCUGCAAGGGCUGUUCGCUUUACACCUUAAUUGCUUAAUUAAGCUGUCUUGAUCCAGGUAAUUAUUGCAAACUUUCUAUCUGAGAAAGGUUUGCCAAGCUAAGCAAGAAUUGCUUAAACAUUCCUGCCUUUGAGAGAGCUGCCUGCCCUUCAUUUCCUUCUGCUUGUUGCAAGCAGUCCCUCCAAGCUGGCCAUCCCUUUCGAACUGGUUGUGCUUCACCCGGGCCUUGGUCGAUGUGUCACCCCCAAUGCAGCACCCAUGGGUGCCCAGGGACUGCAGCAAGCAGUGGGACAGAAAGGGCAGGCAGCACCCAGCCAGCUCCGCCCGCGCCUGCGGGGAUAGCAAGGCACUUCACCAGCAAUAAAAAUAGAUCUAAGAGCUCGUCAGCAAAAUUGUAUUAAAAUACCCACAGAAAAGGCGCAAUACAUAUUCAUCUGCUGCUCGUCAGGAGCGUGCUGGGUCAUGCUUCAAGCACAGAUCAAAAAAAAAAAAAAAAGAAGCUUGUGCAGGAGCUGCUUGCCACGCUGAACAAAAACAGCGAUCCCUGAGUCGAGCUGAGCAGGGAUGGGGUCGGCAGUGCCUCGGACGCCCCUGGCACGCUGCAAGGCUGCGGGCACCACCUGGCUCCUGGAUUUGAUUCAGCACAAAUGACACCUUGUGUGGCCAGGGAUGUGGCACCCCAUGGAAGUCCCAGACCUUCAUCUCCUUGGGUUCCUCUGUCCUUGCUAAUCUCAGUCACCCCUGUAUGGGACCGGUGUGGGACAUGGCAGCGCCCUCCAUGGUUGUCCCCAGGGUGUUUUAUCACUGUCACCCCUUACAUUUGUUUCCAUGGCAGGAUGGAGGGUGCAAUUUUUUCCUGCCACUUAGCGAUUCAGAUCAGGAAGGAGCUCGCCGAGGUUGAUAUUGUCAUGGUCUGACGUUUCGGGAGCCGUCUGAAUAAAUUUCCCUUUAUUAGACACAAGGCUCCCAAUACUGCACCUUCUUCCUCAUUACUUGUGGCCAAGCACCUACAAAACCCAUCCCAGGCCCUGCUUUGCUAUUCAAAGUCCUGCUGGUGUGUACGAGAGCUGGGAGGGAACCCAGAGCCUCCUCCAGGGACCUCUGGGUGUCCGCUGCUGUCCCCAUCUCCUGCUGAGCACCACAAACCACCCCUGCGUGAUGACCUCCUGGUGCCUGCAAAGGAACCUGGGCUCCACGGGCUGGAAGACUUGCCUCCUUUUGCAAGGUUCCUGUGAGCUAUAUGUCGGUUACACUGUGGACUUGCAUCCUUCAAACAUAGCUCAGAGCUGUGGAUCGAAGCACACCCCAGAGAAUUCAUAUACAAAUGCCAUCUGGAGCGGGGAGUUCCCUGGGACAUCCACAAUGCUCAAACAAAUGGAUUUCGUUUGAUUUUGAUGGCAGUUAACGUGCUGCCAUUUUGCUCCCUUCUGCCUCUUUCCCUAAACCUCGGCCCUUGGCUAUGGGGAGGAUGUUCAGCCCUGGCCCACACAGGACUGAGCACCCCAGCAUGUUCUGUACGUGGGAUGCUCAGUGCAUGGGAUGCUCAGUGCACAGGACCCUCUGCAUAUGGGAUGCUCCCCACACAGGUUGCUCGGUGCCACCCCAGUCCUGGUGUCCCCAAAGCCAGGGGCUGUUUUACUGGGGGCUGUGACAGUCUUGUCCCUGCAGCUCCUAAUGCCAGGUCUUUCUCCCAGAGCCAAAAACAUCUACUUUGGAGUCCAUGAUAGAUACUUGGAAAGGGGAUAAAUAUCAUCAUUCUAUUUAAUCGCUCCUAACAGCGCUUCAGAAAUAAAAGGACAGACAGUGCUACGGUGCCCAGCCCAUGGCGAUGUCCCAGAAGCUGUGCACAAACCAAACCAGGCGACGAGAACUGUGUUUUCUUAACAGCCCAUUGCCCUUUCUGAAGGCCAGGUAUGCAGAUACAGCGCUUUUCCGGACGGGGACUUAUUCUGUGUUUGUCACUUUGACAAGGGAUGAUUGACAUUCAGAAUGAUGAUGGGACAAUUUGCCGUGAACUCACCGCACCUCUGCCAGGCAAAUACAUAAAAAAAAAAAAAAAAAAAAAAAA